rnacentral:rRNA from 1 species
UACGGAGGAUCCAAGCGUUAUCCGGAUUUAUUGGGUUUAAAGGGUGCGUAGGCGGCCUAUUAAGUCAGGGGUGAAAGACGGUAGCUUAACUAUCGCAGUGCCUUUGAUACUGAUGGGCUUGAAUGUGCUUGAGGUAGGCGGAAUGUGACAAGUAGCGGUGAAAUGCAUAGAUAUGUCACAGAACACCAAUUGCGAAGGCAGCUUACUAAAGUAUGAUUGACGCUGAGGCACGAAAGCGUGGGGAUCAAACAGG